UUUCUGGGUUUUAGGGUUUAAGGUAAAAUCCUUCUGCAGCAAUGAUAUCAAGCGAAAGGGCCUUGCUGAAUCUGAUUAGCGGUCCACAUGGGCCUCAUUUUGGACACUUGUCAAUUGAUACGCCAAUCACCAUUGCAAUCUUGGACACGUGUCUUAUCAAAUGGUCAAUCAUAGUACAUAAUACACAAGAAGACCACAGUCUCGUGCAGAGGAAGCUUUAAUGGCGCCAAAGCGAAGCAAGAGCCAAAAUCUCCUUCAGGAUCCACAUGGAAUGUUCGCAGGGAUGGUUGUCCUUUUAAUCGAAAAGGGGGUGCAGGCUCGCCGGUUGCAGAUUUGGAAACAGAAGUUGGUCCAAAUGGGUGCUUGUAUUGAGGAUCGUUUGUCGAAAAGGGUCAGCCAUAUAUUUGCUGCGACCUCGGACGCUCUUCUGCAAAAACUGGACGGUGAGCGUUUGGCACGCUUUGAAGGGAAGGUUCUCUCAUACGAGUGGCUAGAAGACAGCUUACGUUCAGGGGAGAGGGCAUCAGAGGAUUUGUACACUGUAAAAGUGGGUUUAGAUGGGGAAAAUGGAAGAGAUGAGCCGCAGCCGUCUAUUUCCAAAAAACUAAAACUGUCUCCCAACAAUUCGGAAGAAGGAAGUGUUGAAAGUGGAGGAGAUUCAAAUGCUCCAACCCUUGUAACAAAGACUGCUACAGAUCAAACAGUGACUAACCCAAGAACUUCUGAUUCUCUUAAUAGCAAUGUGAAACUUGUGCAGACAUCUAUGUCAUACAGUCCACCGGAUCUGAAUAAAAACAUAACUGAGAUUUUUGGAAAACUUAUCAACAUAUACAGAGCAUUGGGUGAUGAACGAAGGUCAUUUAGCUACUACAAGGCAAUUCCAGUAAUUGAGAAGCUACCCUUUAAAAUUGAGAGCAUUGAUCAGGUCAAACACCUGCCAGCAAUAGGAAAAUCGUUGCAGGAUCAUAUUCAAGAGAUAUCGACGACAGGAAAGUUAUCGAAGUUGGAGCACUUUGAAACAGAUGAAAAGGUCCACACAAUCUCACUUUUUGGGGAAGUAUGGGGUAUUGGACCAGCCACGGCUCUGCGAUUAUACGACAAAGGAUGUAGAACCCUUGAUGACUUGCAGAAGGAGUCGUUAACCCAUGCGCAGAAAAUAGGGUUGAAAUAUUUUGAUGAUAUUAAACAGAGAAUUCCUCGCAACGAGGUUCAGGACAUGGAGAGUCUUCUUAAGAAGGCUGGGGAAGAUGUUUUGCCAGGGGUUCUUAUUGUCUGUGGAGGAUCAUUUCGGCGAGGGAAGUCGUCGUGUGGAGAUAUGGACAUUGUAAUCACACAUCCCGAUGGGAAAAGCCAUAGAGGUUUUCUACAAAGAUACGUUAAGCAUUUAAAGGAUAUGAAGUUUCUAAGGGAGGAUCUGAUAUUCAGCACGCACAGUGAGGAGGGAACAGAUUCUGGUGUCGACACAUAUUUUGGCCUCUGCACGUAUCCGGGAAGAGAAUUGCGACACCGAAUAGAUCUGAAGGUGUAUCCAAGAGACAUAUAUGCAUUUGGAUUGCUUGCAUGGACGGGAAACGAUGUACUAAACAGGAGCCGACGUGGGACUUUCAUCAUCCAACAAUGCAUACAGGCUGAGAUUAGUAGCGGAAUCAAAAGGAUUUAGGAUGGAUGAUACUGGGCUGUAUCCAGCUACCCAAGGAUCUGGUGGUAAAAGGGGUGCAAAAGGUAGUGCAAGUUUGAAGUUCGAUACAGAAAAGGACAUUUUCGAGUUCCUCGGGUUUCCAUGGCUGGAACCCCAGCAAAGGAAUAUAUGACUACUCUCUUCUUUUAAUGUACAUUAUAACAACUGUUUGUUCAUAUAUAUAUAUAUAUAAUAAGAAUCACUAGAGGAAGGGGUUGAACCUUCGACCUUGUGGUUAACAGCCACACGCUCUAA